GCAAAGUUGGAAUGAGCGCAGAGCGGUGCGCCCGAGGGGGUUGAAGCGUUGAAAGUGUGUUACCCAGAUUUUAUCUGAGUUAAACACGGGCCGGCCGCUGUGGCUCACGUCUGUAAUCCCAGAGCCUUGGGAGGUCGAGGCGGGAAGAUCGCUUGAGCCCGGGAGCUCGAGACCAGACGCCGCAACAUGGCGAGACCCACAUUUCUGCCUUUAAAAAUGUACAUAUGAACAUAUUAAUAAAUUAGGUGGGAGAAAGUGACCUCCUCCGCCCAAAUAAAAAUAUUUAAAGGACACUUGAAUCUGGAUCUCAGAAAAUGAAUAAUUUCUUAGUAUAAACGUCCUGUGCACCAUUUGGUUGGGACAAGAGAGGCUGGCGGUUACCUUUCUUGGGGAGACGCGUCCGACUGCUUCAUUGUGGGGGCCUCAGGAGCGGAGGAUCGGGUCCCGCCCGAGGUGACGCGUAAACCCGGACUCUCAGCAACGCGGGUAGGAAGCACCCUUGAAGUUCCGCGGCGACCACGUCGGCUGAAACCAGCAGCCCAGGACAAGUGGACCAGCCAGCAAGACCCAGACCAUCCAAACCGGCUGAUCCUACGACAGGACCCAGAUGCCAGUGAAAGUGACCACAGCCCUGCUCUAGUCACCUCGGGAGCUGACCAGUCUACGCACGGCCGAAGCUUGAGGAGACGCCAGCCCUGCUCUCGUCACCCCGGGAGCUGACCAGUCUACACACGGCCGAAGCUUCAUCAAGGAAACCCAAGGCCUCCACCCCUCGAAUUCCCAGUUCACAGACACCAGCCUGGGGAUCACCUCCUUGUCAGAAGUUGGAAAGAGGAAAAACUCAGCCAACCUGGGAAGGACUUUAUCGGGUGCUCCUGACCACCGAGACGACGGUCGGAAAGGGCCCCAUCCCUGGAGGGAUCUUGGACCUUCACUCCAGGAUCAACGCCUUCCAAAUUAACAUUCAAAAAGGUUUAAUCUGUCUCUUCCUUCUCCCUGUAGCCGCCCAAGGACGUCUUAUUAUCAAUAUAAGGUGAUCACCGUUUCCCCA